rnacentral:rRNA from 1 species
CUAAUACAUGCAAGUCGAGCGAACAGACGAGGAGCUUGCUCCUCUGACGUUAGCGGCGGACGGGUGAGUAACACGUGGAUAACCUACCUAUAAGACUGGGAUAACUUCGGGAAACCGGAGCUAAUACCGGAUAAUAUAUUGAACCGCAUGGUUCAAUAGUGAAAGACGGUUUUGCUGUCACUUAUAGAUGGAUCCGCGCCGCAUUAGCUAGUUGGUAAGGUAACGGCUUACCAAGGCAACGAUGCGUAGCCGACCUGAGAGGGUGAUCGGCCACACUGGAACUGAGACACGGUCCAGACUCCUACGGGAGGCAGCAGUAGGGAAUCUUCCGCAAUGGGCGAAAGCCUGACGGAGCAACGCCGCGUGAGUGAUGAAGGUCUUCGGAUCGUAAAACUCUGUUAUUAGGGAAGAACAAAUGUGUAAGUAACUAUGCACGUCUUGACGGUACCUAAUCAGAAAGCCAUGGCUAACUACGUGCCAGCAGCCGCGGUAAUACGUAGGUGGCAAGCGUUAUCCGGAAUUAUUGGGCGUAAAGCGCGCGUAGGCGGUUUUUUAAGUCUGAUGUGAAAGCCCACGGCUCAACCGUGGAGGGUCAUUGGAAACUGGAAAACUUGAGUGCAGAAGAGGAAAGUGGAAUUCCAUGUGUAGCGGUGAAAUGCGCAGAGAUAUGGAGGAACACCAGUGGCGAAGGCGACUUUCUGGUCUGUAACUGACGCUGAUGUGCGAAAGCGUGGGGAUCAAACAGGAUUAGAUACCCUGGUAGUCCACGCCGUAAACGAUGAGUGCU